CUAAUACAUGCAAGUCGAACGAGUUCUCGUUGAUGAUCGGUGCUUGCACCGAGAUUCAACAUGGAACGAGUGGCGGACGGGUGAGUAACACGUGGGUAACCUGCCCUUAAGUGGGGGAUAACAUUUGGAAACAGAUGCUAAUACCGCAUAGAUCCAAGAACCGCAUGGUUCUUGGCUGAAAGAUGGCGUAAGCUAUCGCUUUUGGAUGGACCCGCGGCGUAUUAGCUAGUUGGUGAGGUAAUGGCUCACCAAGGCGAUGAUACGUAGCCGAACUGAGAGGUUGAUCGGCCACAUUGGGACUGAGACACGGCCCAAACUCCUACGGGAGGCAGCAGUAGGGAAUCUUCCACAAUGGACGCAAGUCUGAUGGAGCAACGCCGCGUGAGUGAAGAAGGCUUUCGGGUCGUAAAACUCUGUUGUUGGAGAAGAAUGGUCGGCAGAGUAACUGUUGUCGGCGUGACGGUAUCCAACCAGAAAGCCACGGCUAACUACGUGCCAGCAGCCGCGGUAAUACGUAGGUGGCAAGCGUUAUCCGGAUUUAUUGGGCGUAAAGCGAGCGCAGGCGGUUUUUUAAGUCUGAUGUGAAAGCCCUCGGCUUAACCGAGGAAGCGCAUCGGAAACUGGGAAACUUGAGUGCAGAAGAGGACAGUGGAACUCCAUGUGUAGCGGUGAAAUGCGUAGAUAUAUGGAAGAACACCAGUGGCGAAGGCGGCUGUCUGGUCUGUAACUGACGCUGAGGCUCGAAAGCAUGGGUAGCGAACAGGAUUAGAUACCCUGGUAGUCCAUGCCGUAAACGAUGAAUGCUAGGUGUUGGAGGGUUUCCGCCCUUCAGUGCCGCAGCUAACGCAUUAAGCAUUCCGCCUGGGGAGUACGACCGCAAGGUUGAAACUCAAAGGAAUUGACGGGGGCCCGCACAAGCGGUGGAGCAUGUGGUUUAAUUCGAAGCAACGCGAAGAACCUUACCAGGUCUUGACAUCUUUUGAUCACCUGAGAGAUCAGGCUUCCCCUUCGGGGGCAAAAUGACAGGUGGUGCAUGGUUGUCGUCAGCUCGUGUCGUGAGAUGUUGGGUUAAGUCCCGCAACGAGCGCAACCCUUAUGACUAGUUGCCAGCAUUUAGUUGGGCACUCUAGUAAGACUGCCGGUGACAAACCGGAGGAAGGUGGGGAUGACGUCAAAUCAUCAUGCCCCUUAUGACCUGGGCUACACACGUGCUACAAUGGAUGGUACAACGAGUUGCGAGACCGCGAGGUCAAGCUAAUCUCUUAAAGCCAUUCUCAGUUCGGACUGUAGGCUGCAACUCGCCUACACGAAGUCGGAAUCGCUAGUAAUCGCGGAUCAGCACGCCGCGGUGAAUACGUUCCCGGGCCUUGUACACACCGCCCGUCACACCAUGAGAGUUUGUAACACCCGAAGCCGGUGGCGUACCCUUUUAGGGAGCGAGCCGUCUAAG
rnacentral:rRNA from 1 species